AGUGAACGCUGGCGGUAGGCCUAACACAUGCAAGUCGAACGGCAGCACAGUAAGAGCUUGCUCUUACGGGUGGCGAGUGGCGGACGGGUGAGGAAUACAUCGGAAUCUACUUUUUCGUGGGGGAUAACGUAGGGAAACUUACGCUAAUACCGCAUACGACCUACGGGUGAAAGCAGGGGAUCUUCGGACCUUGCGCGAUUGAAUGAGCCGAUGUCGGAUUAGCUAGUUGGCGGGGUAAAGGCCCACCAAGGCGACGAUCCGUAGCUGGUCUGAGAGGCUGAUCAGCCACACUGGAACUGAGACACGGUCCAGACUCCUACGGGAGGCCGCAGUGGGGAAUAUUGGACAAUGGGCGCAAGCCUGAUCCAGCCAUACCGCGUGGGUGAAGAAGGCCUUCGGGUUGUAAAGACCUUUUGUUGGGAAAGAAAAGCAGCAGGUUAAUACCCCGCUGUUCUGACGGUACCCAAAGAAUAAGCACCGGCUAACUUCGUG
rnacentral:rRNA from 1 species